rnacentral:sRNA from 1 species
CGACACUAGUCAGCGAGGCUUCGCCCACUAGUGCG